CUGGCAUCAUGCUCAGGGACAUGUGUGUUGGUCCGUCUGUUGCAGAUGAAGACCACUUACCAAGACACUUAAGGAGUUCUUAGCAGAUGAAACAAUUCUAAAAGUAGGGGUUGGUCCCAUAGAAGACAGUAAUUAUCUUGCAGCAGAUUACAGCAUACAGGUCAAAGGUUGUGUUGAUCUGCGGCACCUAGUCCUCAUGAGCCACAAUUUGUCCCCGGAGCCAAAGUCUAAGUUAAAACCAAAAAG